AAGUCGUAACAAGGUAUCUGUAGGUGAACCUGCAGAUGGAUCAUUUAAGAGUUAAAGGGCGCUCGCAAGAGGCCUGCCACUCAUUUACAAACACUUGUGCACCAGAAACAGAGGAAGCUUUUUCUCGAAAAAGCCCCUCAAUAAAAAACACUAGUAUUAUAAAGUUGAUGAUGUCAAUGAUAAUUGAUAAACGAAAGUAAAACUUUCAGCAACGGAUCUCUUGGCUCUC
rnacentral:misc_RNA from 1 species